AGUGAACGCUGGCGGCAGGCCUAACACAUGCAAGUCGAACGGCAGCACAAGAGAGCUUGCUCUCUGGGUGGCGAGUGGCGGACGGGUGAGGAAUGCAUCGGAAUCUGCCCAUUUGUGGGGGAUAACCUCGGGAAACCGGGACUAAUACCGCAUACGACCUACGGGUGAAAGAAGGGGAUCUUCGGACCUUGCGCAGAUGGAUGAGCCGAUGCCGGAUUAGCUAGUGGGAGGGGUAAAGGCCCACCAAGGCGACGAUCCGUAGCUGGUCUGAGAGGAUGAUCAGCCACACUGGGACUGAGACACGGCCCAGACUCCUACGGGAGGCAGCAGUGGGGAAUAUUGGACAAUGGGCGCAAGCCUGAUCCAGCCAUGCCGCGUGUGUGAAGAAGGCCUUCGGGUUGUAAAGCACUUUUGUUGGGAAAGAAAAGCAGCCGGUUAAUACCCGGUUGUCAUGACGGUACCCAAAGAAUAAGCACCGGCUAACUUCGUG
rnacentral:rRNA from 1 species